rnacentral:rRNA from 1 species
ACUUAACCCGGAGAGGAAGCAGUGGCUAACUCUGUGCAGCAGCCGCGGUAAUACAGAGACUGCAAGCGUUAUUCGGAUUCACUGGGCGUAAAGGGUGCGCAGGCGGCCGUGUGUGUGAGGCGUGAAAGCCCGAUGCUCAACAUCGGAAUGGCACCUCAAACUAUACGGCUAGAGCAUUGGAGAGGGUAGCGGAAUUCACGGUGUAGCAGUGAAAUGCGUAGAUAUCGUGAGGAACACCAGAGGCGAAGGCGGCUACCUGGACAAUUGCUGACGCUCAGGCACGAAAGCGUGGGGAGCAAAAGGGAUUAGAUACCCCUGUAGUCCACGCCCUAAACGGUGCACACUAGGUCUUGGCGGAUUCGACCCCACCAGGGCCCAAGCUAACGCGUUAAGUGUGCCGCCUGAGGACUACGGUCGCAAGACUAAAACUCAAAGGAAUUGACGGGGGCCCGCACAAGCGGUGGAGUAUGUGGCUUAAUUCGAUGCAACGCGAAGAACCUUACCUAGCCUUGACAUGCAUUAGACCGGACCUGAAAGGGUCCUUUCCUUCGGGACUGGUGCACAGGUGCUGCAUGGCUGUCGUCAGCUCGUGUCGUGAGAUGUUGCGUUAAGUCGCGCAACGAGCGCAACCCCUGUCCUUAGUUGCCAUCAUUAAGUUGGGCACUCUAGGGAGACAAACCCUCUUUGAGGGUGGGAAGGUGGGGAUGACGUCAAGUCAGGAUGGCCCUUACGGCUAGGGCUGCACACGUACUACAAUGCCCGGUACAGAGGGACGCGAUACCGCGAGGUGGAGCAAAUCCUCAAAACCGGGCCCAGUUCAGAUUGUAGUCUGCAACUCGACUACAUGAAGUUGGAAUCGCUAGUAAUGGCGCAUCAGCUACGGCGCCGUGAAUACGUUCCCGGGCCUUGUACACACCGCCCGUCACGUCAUGAAAGCCGGUUUCGCCCGAAGUGCGUUUGCCAACCAGCAAUGGAGGCGGCGCCCUAAGGUGAGGCUGGUGAUUGGGACGAAGUCGUAACAAGGUAACCGU